GUUAUCUGAACAAUCGAAGAAUUGAUGAACUUGCUACAUCAUGCACUGACCAACCAGAAAAGUUUCAUGUAUGGACUCCAAAAAUACCCAAGCUUGUAACUUCAAUUUGAUGCCCCUAGGGAAGGCUGUCUCCCUUCCCAUCAUUUUUUUUCCCUUGUGAGAGUGCAUCCCUGAAAGAGUGACGAAGAUUAUUUAGUAUGGAU
rnacentral:lncRNA from 1 species